rnacentral:rRNA from 1 species
GGAAUCUUCCACAAUGGACGAAAGUCUGAUGGAGCAAUGCCGCGUGAGUGAAGAAGGUUUUCGGAUCGUAAAACUCUGUUGUGAGGGAAGAACAAGUACGAGAGUAACUGCUCGUACCUUGACGGUACCUCAUUAGAAAGCCACGGCUAACUACGUGCCAGCAGCCGCGGUAAUACGUAGGUGGCAAGCGUUGUCCGGAAUUAUUGGGCGUAAAGCGCGCGCAGGCGGUCCUUUAAGUCUGAUGUGAAAUCCCACGGCUCAACCGUGGAAGGUCAUUGGAAACUGGGGGACUUGAGUACAGAAGAGGAAAGCGGAAUUCCAAGUGUAGCGGUGAAAUGCGUAGAGAUUUGGAGGAACACCAGUGGCGAAGGCGGCUUUCUGGUCUGUAACUGACGCUGAGGCGCGAAAGCGUGGGGAGCAAACA